rnacentral:rRNA from 1 species
UACGUAGGGCGCAAGCGUUGUCCGGAAUUAUUGGGCGUAAAGAGCUCGUAGGCGGUGUGUCGCGUCGGCCGUGAAAACCUGCAGCUUAACUGUGGGCUUGCGGUCGAUACGGGCAUCACUGGAGUUCGGCAGGGGAGACUGGAAUUCCUGGUGUAGCGGUGAAAUGCGCAGAUAUCAGGAGGAACACCGGUGGCGAAGGCGGGUCUCUGGGCAGUAACUGACGCUGAGGAGCGAAAGCGUGGGGAGCGAACAGG